AUUGAACGCUGGCGGUAUGCUUAACACAUGCAAGUCGAACGGUAGCAGGCCUUCGGGCGCUGACGAGUGGCGGACGGGUGAGUAACGCGUAGGAAUCUGCCUCAUAGUGGGGGACAACGUGUGGAAACGCACGCUAAUACCGCAUACGCCCUACGGGGGAAAGCGGGGGACCUUUGGGCCUCGCGCUAUGAGAUGAGCCUGCGUUAGAUUAGCUAGUUGGUAGGGUAAAGGCCUACCAAGGCGACGAUCUAUAGCUGGUCUGAGAGGACGAUCAGCCACACUGGGACUGAGACACGGCCCAGACUCCUACGGGAGGCAGCAGUGGGGAAUAUUGGACAAUGGGCGCAAGCCUGAUCCAGCAAUACCGCGUGUGUGAAGAAGGCCCUAGGGUUGUAAAGCACUUUCAAUAGGGAGGAAAACCUGCCGGUCAAUACCCGGUAGCUUGACAUUACCUAUAGAAGAAGCACCGGCUAACUCCGUGCCAGCCGCCGCCGUAAGAC
rnacentral:rRNA from 1 species